ACCUCUGUAGCUCAGUGGCUAGAGCAUUGCGCUGGCAUCGCAAAAGCGUAGGUUCAAUUCCUGCCAGAGGAC